GACGAACGCUGGCGGCGUGCUUAACACAUGCAAGUCGAGCGGUAAGGCCCUUUCGGGGGUACACGAGCGGCGAACGGGUGAGUAACACGUGAGUGACCUGCCCUUAGCUCUGGGAUAAGCCUGGGAAACUGGGUCUAAUACCGGAUAUGACUCCAUGACGCAUGUUGUGGGGUGGAAAGCCUUGUGCGGCUAGGGAUGGGCCCGCGGCCUAUCAGCUUGUUGGUGGGGUGAUGGCCUACCAAGGCGACGACGGGUAGCCGGCCUGAGAGGGCGACCGGCCACACUGGGACUGAGACACGGCCCAGACUCCUACGGGAGGCAGCAGUGGGGAAUCUUGCGCAAUGGGCGAAAGCCUGACGCAGCGACGCCGCGUGAGGGAUGACGGCCUCGG
rnacentral:rRNA from 1 species